GAUGAACGCUGGCGGCGUGCCUAAUACAUGCAAGUCGAGCGAACAGAUGAGGAGCUUGCUCCUCUGACGUUAGCGGCGGACGGGUGAGUAACACGUGGAUAACCUACCUAUAAGACUGGGAUAACUUCGGGAAACCGGAGCUAAUACCGGAUAAUAUAUUGAACCGCAUGGUUCAAUAGUGAAAGACGGUUUUGCUGUCACUUAUAGAUGGAUCCGCGCCGCAUUAGCUAGUUGGUAAGGUAACGGCUUACCAAGGCAACGAUGCGUAGCCGACCUGAGAGGGUGAUCGGCCACACUGGAACUGAGACACGGUCCAGACUCCUACGGGAGGCAGCAGUAGGGAAUCUUCCGCAAUGGGCGAAAGCCUGACGGAGCAACGCCGCGUGAGUGAUGAAGGUCUUCGGAUCGUAAAACGCUGUUAUUAGGGAAGAACAAAUGUGUAAGUAACUAUGCACGUCUUGACGGUACCUAAUCAGAAAGCCACGGCUAACUACGU
rnacentral:rRNA from 1 species